GAAGAGAAAUGAGAGAGAGAACGACAGAAAAAGAGAAACAAGUUCAUGUUAACGUAAGACAGUUCACAUCAGGACAUCCUCCUUAGUCUGUCAUGCAAUUUAAUCAGAUCAUGAGGCAUCUGCCAUUGCAGUUAACUGAAAAUGUGAUCUGUAUACACUGAAAAAGCACUGAUCACAUAUGCCAUGCUCAUCAAACACACAUAAACAAACAAACAUUAAACAGAUGCAGCAGCCUGGAGAAAUGAGCAGUACACAGUACUCAGUACUCUCAUUUUCUGCUGUAGCAGGGUGGUGACACUACUCUGGCUGCUGGCACAACGGUUUAUUCAUCAGGAGGAUACUGCAUGCCUGCAGGAGGAUUCGUCCCCUCCCCCAUCACUUCCUCCCCCACUCUCACUCUAUUCCUCUCUCUCACACACACUCCACACAGCAAAUAUUACCUCAGCAAACCCAGCCAGUGGGCGCCAGCAGGUGACCUCUCUCUCUCUGAUUACUUUCACACUAUGUAUGUGCAUAUCAUAUGAAAUUUCCUCACAGGAUUAAUGAAGUGUAUGUAUGUACCUUAUCUGUCUGUGAACAAUCACUCUAGUUGUAAAAGAUAGAUCAUAAUAGCUUUAAAAUUAUUAUUGUGUUUCCAUUUAAUUUUUUCACAUUUUUAAAAGGUUAGAUUUGUCAGAAUUUACCUAAUUUGGGCUUUUCCUUAAGCCAGACUUUUAACUUCUGCUCUGAUUUAUGAAAAAUGCUAAAAGCAGGGAAUUUCAACAUUUUUCGGGGCAACCAAGAACCGCAAUAACUGCGCUCCGUUUAACACCUGUGACUCCAAAAAAUGAUUGGACAGAUGGUGAAACCAAAGUGCUUCUCUUCAUCCAAGUGGAUGAAGAAAUAUGUCGACAGACUACAGGACCAUUUUAGCUGGUCUGCAGUGCUGGCGAGCUGGGACUUGUCGCAGCCACAGGGGAGAAAUGAAACCUUAACUCAGCUCUUUUAACAUCAGCACAGAUGUCCCCGCUGCUCAUUACACAGUCAAGAGCUGUUCAAUAGGGUGAACUCUUCAUAGACCACUGGGCGCCACCAUGAUGAUACUGAUUGCCACUGGACUGUUUUCUGGUCUCCAUAAGAACCAAUGUAAAAACUACUGAAACUAUUGAUCCAGAUGGAGAACAACCACCAUUUUAAGUGUUAGUAGGAGUAAAAAUGAGUUAGAGCACUUAACUUGCGCAGUUGUUGGCUUUCAAUACAACUCAAAGUAUUUAAUGAUAUCAUCGUAACUAUGCUCUGGCCACAGCUUCAUGUCAUCUACCCACUCCUUAAACUUUGACAGGUGAGGCACUGUCAAAAGUCAUAUCAUAGUGUUUCCCAUUAGCAUGCAUUCAGCAUGCAAGCAAUCACUGUACUAGCUAGUUUAUUUAAUUAUUAAGUUAACUUAACAUGUCUAAUUUAGUUGGGUUUACUCAACCCAAGUAGGUUCCCUCUAAGUAUUUAAAUUGAGGUUACAUGGUAAUUUUAAUUUUAAUAUAAGAAAACUUAUUUCAAAUACAUGAAACCACAUGAAACCACUGUCCAUAGUUGAAUCAAGUUAAGCCAGAGUUAAAUUUAAAGUGCCAUCAAAAUGUAUGAGUUGAUGUAAAAAAUUGAUGUAACUGAUUACCAACGUUUUUUUUAUUGCAUUUUUUUUUAGUUCUGCUAAUUUAUUGGGGAUUACAGAGCAUAUGAAUUUCUUUAUAAAACAUUAUUUAUUUAUUUUUUAAUAGAUGAAAUGGAUUUGGAUGACAGAGAUGGUUAAUACAAAGUUACCACAUAUUUACUGUAGUAACUGGUAUAUUGGCAGAUUCUUACGCUUAAGGUAAAUUGUUGUGCUGGUGCCCAAUCAUAAUCUCAUUCAUCCAGAAAUGUGCUAUAUUUGUAGUUUAGCCUGUUGUGCAUGUGUUAGGACAUCUGCUACAGACAAAAAAUUCAAGGGGUAGAUUAUCAGGAGACAGCAUUAAAACAUCGACUUUCCUUUAAAAAACACCCACUUGCUGGCGAUGCCAAUCGGAGGAUGGAGACACGGCCCAUGUUAUUUGGUGGUUUGCUGAGAACCAGGAAUUUUGGUUGAAGGUUCAGAGUUUUGUGUGUGACGUGUUGGGCACUGGGGUUUCGUUUUGCCCCAGACUCUUUAUUUUGGGCGAUGGGGCGGUCAUCGAUGUGGGGAAUAAACACAUAAAAAAUUAGGUUCUGACCAGUGUCAUGAUCACCAGGCAAAUUAUUGUAAGGGGAUGGAGGUCGGCUGGGGCACCCCCAUUUCAGGAGUGGUGCACGGAGAUGGGGAGGGUGGCAGCUUUUGAGGAAAUGUCAUUUAGAAGAUUGGGUAACUUAAGAUUUGUUUGUUGGGAAAUGGGGCAACUAUUUGGAGUUUUUGGAGGGCUCUCGGGGAGGGGCAGUGGAGAAAGAGGUAGAGGUAUAAAUGUGUGUGAUUU